rnacentral:tRNA from 1 species
GGCCCUAUCGUCUAGAGGCCUAGGACGCCGGGUUCUCAACCCGGUAACACGGGUUCGAAUCCCGUUGGGGCUACCA